rnacentral:rRNA from 16 species
GGAUGCGAUCAUACCAGCACUAAAGCAGCGGAUCCCAUCAGAACUCCGAAGUUAAGCGUGCUUGGGGAACAGUAGUACUAGGAUGGGUGACCUCCUGGGAAGUCCUCGUGUUGCAUUCC